GAUGAACGCUGGCGGCGUGCCUAAUACAUGCAAGUCGAGCGAACAGAUAAGGAGCUUGCUCCUUUGACGUUAGCGGCGGACGGGUGAGUAACACGUGGGUAACCUACCUAUAAGACUGGAAUAACUCCGGGAAACCGGGGCUAAUGCCGGAUAACAUUUAGAACCGCAUGGUUCUAAAGUGAAAGAUGGUUUUGCUAUCACUUAUAGAUGGACCCGCGCCGUAUUAGCUAGUUGGUAAGGUAACGGCUUACCAAGGCAACGAUACGUAGCCGACCUGAGAGGAUGAUCAGCCACACUGGAACUGAGACACGGUCCAGACUCCUACGGGAGGCAGCAGUAGGGAAUCUUCCGCAAUGGGCGAAAGCCUGACGGAGCAACGCCGCGUGAGUGAUGAAGGUCUUCGGAUCGUAAAACUCUGUUAUUAGGGAAGAACAAAUGUGUAAGUAACUGUGCACGUCUUGACGGUACCUAAUCAGAAAGCCACGGCUAACUACGUG
rnacentral:rRNA from 1 species